CACGAACCGUACGAACGUUAUUCGGAAUUACUGGGCUUAAAGGGUUUGUAGGCGGCCAUGUAAGUGGGGUGUGAAAGCCCUCGGCUCAACCGAGGAAUAGCGCUCCAAACUGUAUGGCUUGAGGGAGACAGGGGUAAGCGGAACUGAUGGUGGAGCGGUGAAAUGCGUUGAUAUCAUCAGGAACACCGGUGGCGAAAGCGGCUUACUGGGUCUCUUCUGACGCUGUGAAACGAAAGCUAGGGUAGCGAACGGG
rnacentral:rRNA from 1 species